AUCAAUGAGCAUCAAUGGCUGUUAAAAGUAUUACGUGUUGGGAACAUCCCGUAGAAGAGGAAGCAAGGCGGGACAGGCAGGAGCGUAAACAAGGAGAAUGCAUCGCGGGGGUGGCACGACGGGGUACGAGGGCGAGGGGGUUGUACCCGUCGCUCAUGCGCGCCUGGAACCCCGCCCUAUCGCUUCGGAAUACGGCCUGUCCUGUCGAGGACUCUUCGCCGAGGUGGUCGAAUAGUCACGCUUUAACCCGCGAUCCGCGAGGCGGACAGCACUCGCCAGGAACGCGCAAGUGCUCGGAAGAGGAAGGAGGCCCCGCAAACAUUCCCGAAACGGGCCCCCGGGGCUGUGUGCGCUCGCGAGCCUUCACCGAGACACGUUUCCUCUUCCCUCCCUGCCUCCCCCGCUCCCUUCCCACCAGCCCGAGUCGUUGAGAAAAAUCGUCGCGGAGGGAGCACCGCAAAUUUUGAUCGUCGUGUGUAUUGUUCCAUGAACCGAGGGAGGAUCGACGGUGGUGGCGGAUCGAUCAUCGUCAGACGGGGAGUCGCGCGUGUGACGGGAAUUUCAGGAUCGAUGUGACCGGCAGCGAUGCCAGCAAUUCUGCUGCGUGGCAACCAGUUGCGGAUGCAAACUGGCGUCGAGCAUAGAAUCCGUAUUAAGCUCACCAUGAAUGGCCCUUCGGCGUGAAAUCGUGCGUCGGGAAUCGCUGUCGACGCUCUCGCGCGGAUCUCCGAGUCGUGGAGGUGCCUCGAGUGUAAUUUACUAUUUUUCUUUCCCCUCGGUGGAUCGAUCUGGAGAGCGUGACGGAUCGCCGAGUGUCGCGACCGCUGUUGAUUGCGAUUCGCGUGAAAAAGCGAGCUUUUAUUCAGCGGAAGAGAGUCGCUCUUCAAGUUCGCGAACGACCUGUAUAUAUAUAUAUAUAUAUAUAUCGAGGAUAGACAACAAUCGCGUCACAUCGAUCCGGUUGGCAUAAGUUUACAAACGCGAUAUCGAAUCUCCUCAACUCCAAUAUAUCUUCGUCGUUCAAAAUAUCACAACGUGCGCCUUAAACCAUACCAAAGAAACCAAUAAAAAAUAAGAAAAAAAGAAAAACACGAACAGCACAGGCCUAACUUGGGAUCAACGGACUAACGAUUUGCAAAAUAUCACGCGAUUUUCUAACGCGUGAGUGUCACGCGGCCUUUCUUGAAGAAGAUUUUUCAUAAGUGUGCGACGAGCUACAUACGCGAGAUGCACGAUUUCCUACAAAACAGCAGCGGCUGAAAGGUCGUGAUCGAUCGACUUAAUUUGAUAACCCCCGAAAGAACCUUAGAGUGUACCGUAUAGCGAUAAGAUGAGGACUGAAAAGUGAAAGGGGUGAAUCGAGAAAGAGAGAGAGAGAGAGAGAGAGAGAGAGAGAGAGAGAAAGAAACAAGCCAUAUGCUGGCUAUCUAUGCCGCGCAGAGAUUAACAAGUACUGCUACUUGAAGAAACAUCGGAAGGAGAUCUCCAAUUGAAUAAUCAAACUGACAGCAAAAUGUCGAAUCAAGACCGUUCGCAGGAAUGGCGUGCAUCGAGCUUUACGGCGCUGCAUCGAUUUCAAGAUCGUUCCUCGCGCUACCCCUCGAAACUUGGAGACUGGGGAGAAAGCUCGCGACAAUAGAAUGUUGAUCGAUAAUCGUCCAUUAAAGACCUCGAAUUAACUGCACCCUCGCGACAAAUUAUAAAUCUAGUUUUGUAUCGAAAAAAGAAGAAAAAAAAAAUAAAGCGAAUACAGAUCGUUCGAUGCAACCCUCAUCGAGUCGACCCGACGACCGCACGACAUCGCGUUUUCAAAGGUCGAGCUAGUAGACGGCCUCGCUCUCAAUGUCUCCUAGAUGCGAAAGACGGAAACGCGAUCGAGUUCACUGGAUCCCCCGUCCCCUGCCGGACGAGUCAUCCACGAGGAAAACGAUGGUCGACGGGUGCCUGCUCGACAGUUGAUCCGCAGAGAAUCGACAACUCCACAAAUAAGCACGGCCUAAGCGAUGAUCGGCCUGUAGAUUGGCGCGCUCGAUGAGUCGUCGCGGAAACGAGCAUCGACAAGCAGCAGCGAGCACCAGCCGACCAAGAAGAAGAGGAAGGAGAAGAAGAAGACGUAGAAGAAGAAGAGAUAGCCUGUAGCCGCGUAGGGUCGUCUCCCUCUCGAGAGAGAGCCGCGUUCCGGGUGAUGCGCGGGAGUAGCUCCGAACUCCUGCUGGAGGCGAGCUGCAGCCAGUGCCAGAGCGAUCGGGGCCAUCGGCGCCGGGACAGCGACGACGGCGGCGGCGGCGGCGGCGGCGACGGCGGCGGGCACGACUUCCACGAACGGGAGCUACGUCGUCGCAAACUGUUGGAGCUCGGGUUCGGCGCGUCGCGGCGCCGACCGCCACGGCGUACCUGCCGGCAACGGCUCAACUUCUACGCCACGUCGGCCCUGGCCUUCGUCGCGACAUCCGGCGGCGCGGCGCUCCUCUUCCUGGUGCCGCUCUACGUCGAUCCGGCCAUCAGCACCCUGGCGGCGGACUUCUCGCCGCAGCCGGUCAUCUGCACGACCUCGCGACGCGAGGAGCUCGCCGGCCUCCUCAACUGCACAUGGAGCUCGUGCCGCGAGGGUUGCACCAGUGACGUGUACAGGUGCACCCACAUAUACGUCACCUACACGCCGUGGAGUAACGUCACCAUGAGGAACGACACCGCCAGGAACACCAACGUCACGACCAACACCACGACGACCCCUCUGGGCGCCGUCACUGCCGUGUCCUCCCCGGGCGACGUCGAGGCGGUGCUCCUGGUGAACAUCAAGGGCUGCGGGUACCCGCCGACAGUCGACUGCGGCAACUUCACCCGCGAGUUGGGUUACGAGGGCGCGAGGUUCCCCUGCCAUUAUAGCCGGGUGAACGGUAGUAUAGUGAUGGCGAACUAUAAUCGCGAGGCACAGAUCACCAUCAUUAUGCACUUCUUCGCGGCGCCCUUUGUAGUGACUCUCGCGACCAGCGUCGCGCUGUGUGUGAUGCACUGUGACUGCAGAUGCACGCCGCCCCCGCGACACCCCCCGCGCGGCAUGAGAAGAUCCAAGGGCAACGAUCUCAGCUGCUGCAUGAGUAUAAAAAAUCGAUAACGGGUUAGAAGCAUGCCGGAAGUCGUCCGAUUUAGAAGGUGUAUUUGACGAGGCAAAUAAACUUUCUAAACCAUACAUAAGACAAAGCGACUUAACAAUGAGAUGUUACUCCAACGUACUUACGUCGUCGUCGUGAGACGAUGCUAAGCUCUUUCGGCUGCAAAUACCGCCUUAGAAGAAAAGAGCGAAUCGCAGAAACGGAAAUCGGAUAUCGAUUCAUCAUCUCUCGCUAAUCCUCCGCUAAUUAACACCAAAAGGCGCAUUCAUCUCAUUAACAAAACGAGUGCGCCGCCCGAAAGCCGUGACUGCGCUCUCCGCUUGCAACGCAAUGAACAUGUGUAAAAAGAGAUCUCUAAUUAUCGAUCGGACGCCCGACCACUCGAUCAGCAACCGCGUGGACCGUCGCGGCCACCCGACAUAUUGCGAGUGCGGCGAGGUGACGAGGCCCUUAUGACGACGGGAGGAGACGGCCGAGAGUGCCCUGGCCACAUCGCAAUCCGACUUUUAGGCCCUGUUCGCUCUACCCGUCCUCGACCGUCCUUCCGGCCCAAUGGCCGGCGAUCUAUCUUGUUGAACUCUACCGCAUGUUUCCCGGCAGCAUUUCAUCCCGACCUCUCCACGUGUACAAAUCAACAUACAAUUCGCAUACGUUUAAAUUCGCAUACGUCAACGAGAUACGCGGGACGAGGGAAGCGAUCCUUCAACCCUCUCGACGACUCUCGUCCGCCGAUUGCAAAGAGUAGAAGCUGCCCCCGCACAACGUGCGCGUUGUACACAUGUGCGGUGUUGUUGCGUGGUUAAUUGGUACAAGGGCGGUUCGCGGCUAGUAAUUACCAGUGGCCUGUGAGCCGCGAGCUUGGUGGUAAUUGAGCGGCGCGAUUGACGCGAUUAUAAAAGGCACCGCUCGCGUGAUGAGUAUCGCGCGAUCUGGCGAAAGGUGAGCGCAAAUUGGUUAUCACGCGCAGAAUGAAUAGUUUCGCUUUACACGCCGAGAUGCCUAACAUUACGGUGCAUUACGGUGCUCGAUGGCGUUUCACUAAUUGUUAACGAUAUUCGGGAAAUAUUUCCUUUUCGCGUGACGUGUGAUAGAAAAUAUUAGAUUACGUCAGCGUACGAAAGGAUGAAAAAAUGCGACUCCCCGAGGAAGAAUUACCUCUGCAUACGUUCUAAUUUUAUAUCGCGAAUAAUCUCGCUGCUGGCCUAGCUUGCGCUAAUUAAUUUCAUUCGACGACACGAGCUCCGAAUUUCCUUUUGACAUUAUUCGCGAAUACGUACGAGUGUAAUAAUUCAAUAUUUGUCGAUCCGUCUGCAAACAAUAACGAAAAUUGUGAAACGACAAAGCGUAUGAUAUGCGUAUAAAUGCUUUCGGUAAAUAAAAAUCUGCGUAAAUAAGGUACGUAUGAAAUUCUGAAAAUCCCGAAUAAACAUAAUGCGUAACGUUCUGAUUGCAUAACCGCGUUCACUCGCACGUUUAUUGAAAGUUUCCACCCACGUAUGACCGAGAUGAAUGCGUCCCAAUUGGUUCCGCACGUGGUUAGAAGAGUUUACGUUCGCAAAAUUAGUCGGGGAUCAUCUACGAAUCCUUCUGGAUUUCAGUAUCGCAUUCGAAAUUAGAGCAACGAACAAGCCGAGCAAAACAACUAUUUACAUACGUUUUAACGAAAUUAAUAAGAAAUUGCCAUA